ACUUACUUUUCUCUAAAUGGAAAAUUAAGAGUGGGCAUUUUCUAAGUGAGGGUUGGUGAAUUUCCAUAGGGGAGGUGUAUGCUCAUGAUCCUGGAGCUGUGUGACUGACUGACUGGCUCUGUAUCACUGCCAAGUGCCAAAACACAAAUAAGCUUCCCAUACCUAAUUCAUAUUCAUGAAAAUUGACAUGGUGGAAAAUCCUAUGUGGGGAAGAACAAGAAUUUCUAAAUGUUAAGACUUUUAUUCUAAAAAUGAUCUUUUUCUUUCUGUAUUAAAUAAUUCCACUGAUUAAGUUUUUAAAUCAUAAAAUCAGGCCUUCAAGAAUCAACUUUAUCCUUUGCAAAAUCUUACAGGGUCAUCCCCCCAAGUCAAGGGCUGAUGGAGUAGCUUCAUUUUCUAAUAUCAGUUUUCCAUAACCUCACUUAUUAAGUGCCCUUAGUAUACCGCUGACAUCUUCUGACAUCUGUAAGUACAUUAGUUUUUCCUUUUCUGACCAUGAUUUUUUUUUAUCUUCACUUGUUUUCACACUAGUUCCUAUGACUUAUUUAGGAUGUAUGAUAUGCUUAAAAUGUCAUUUUGCUUGCUGUUAAGAAAUGUGAACACCAUCUUAAUGGCUACCUAUUCUGUGAAGGACACUGAAGAACUGCCACAUAAACUGGAGGCUGAACUCCAUUCUCUGUGCAAAUCGAUGGUAAAGGCUUCUUCACACUGAAACGUCAGCAGGAACAAGUCUGCAUAUAUCCUCUUACCAGCCAAUAUUUGGGCCUGCGCUUGUACAGCCUCUGUGCUUGGCCUGUCGCUUCAGGACAUGCAGCACAUUCUCUUCAUCAAAGAGAAGGCGUUAGCAGGCACUGUGCAUUUCCCUUGAAUCUGGGUUAACCUUAGGGAAGGAUCAGGAUUGAAUUACCUUCCAGGUGGUGAGGAUAAGAGAAGACGGAUAUCCCACAAACCCGGACGCAGGCUCUUACCAGACGCCAGA